UAGGGAAUCUUCCGCAAUGGACGCAAGUCUGACGGAGCAACGCCGCGUGAGUGAAGAAGGAUUUCGGUUCGUAAAACUCUGUUGUUAGAGAAGAACAGCGCAUAGAGUAACUGUUAUGCGUGUGACGGUAUCUAACCAGAAAGCCACGGCUAACUACGUGCCAGCAGCCGCGGUAAUACGUAGGUGGCAAGCGUUGUCCGGAUUUAUUGGGCGUAAAGCGAGCGCAGGCGGUACAUUAAGUCUGAUGUGAAAGCCCCCGGCUCAACCGGGGAGGGUCAUUGGAAACUGGUUGACUUGAGUGCAGAAGAGGAGAGUGGAAUUCCAUGUGUAGCGGUGAAAUGCGUAGAUAUAUGGAGGAACACCAGUGGCGAAGGCGACUCUCUGGUCUGUAACUGACGCUGAGGCUCGAAAGCGUGGGUAGCAAACAGG
rnacentral:rRNA from 1 species